UUUUUUUUCUGCUGGGCCAGCGCUUCAUUCUACUAUCCACACCCCAUUUCGCCUGCUGCUAACGCCAAACACAAAGCCCAUUGCUCCAUUUUUAUUUCUUUUACUCACUUUUUAUUAUUCUGUUUUGUUUUAAUUAUUUAAAAAUAUUUUACCUAUUCAUAAAAAUACCAAAAAAUAAUUUUUACUUUCCUUAAUGUUUUAUUUAAUGAAUUUAUUUUUUAUUUUUUUAUUUUAUUUAAUGUUAAUAUUUUAUUUUAAUUAUUUAUUUCAAGUGGUUCUUUUAAACAUACUUUUUUUCAUUUAUUUUAUUUUCAUAACUUAAAAUUAUUUUUAGAUUCUGAUUUUUGGGAUGAGGGUUGAC
rnacentral:lncRNA from 1 species